UGUCAGCUUCCCCAUCUUAGCAUGAUUGCAACUUGCCUCUUCUUAUCUUGCUGUCAAAGACCCACGUGAAGAUUGGAAGAUAAGAUUAAUUUGCUGUCAGCUUCCCCAUCUCAGCAUAAUUGUUUAAUUGCAAUUGUCUCUCUUUGGGGCUGCCUUGCCGUCAAACAUCAAGACCAAGUUUGAAGAAAAGUUCAAUUGCAACUUGCAAGCUCAUCUCAGUUUGCUGCCUUGUUGUCGUGGUUCCCAAUCCCAUCUCAUCUUGCUAUCUUGUCCAAGGUCAAGCUUCAAACUUGAAGAUCAAAAGAAGACCCCUCUUCAUCAUGGCUCAAGUAAGCUCAUACAUGACAUCUCUUUCAAAAAUUCAAUGGUUUUUCAUGGGUUCCCUUCGUAUGAGCAUGGGUUUACAUGGGCAAUCUGAAAUUAUGGGUAUGGGUUUUCGUUCUC
rnacentral:lncRNA from 1 species